rnacentral:rRNA from 1 species
CCUACGGGAGGCAGCAGUGGGGAAUUUUGGACAAUGGGCGCAAGCCUGAUCCAGCAAUGCCGCGUGAGUGAAGAAGGCCUUCGGGUUGUAAAGCUCUUUUGUCAGGGAAGAAACGGCUGAGGUUAAUACCUUUGGCUAAUGACGGUACCUGAAGAAUAAGCACCGGCUAACUACGUGCCAGCAGCCGCGGUAAUACGUAGGGUGCAAGCGUUAAUCGGAAUUACUGGGCGUAAAGCGUGCGCAGGCGGUUUUGUAAGUCUGACGUGAAAUCCCCGGGCUCAACCUGGGAAUUGCGUUGGAGACUGCAAGGCUGGAGUCUGGCAGAGGGGGGUAGAAUUCCACGUGUAGCAGUGAAAUGCGUAGAGAUGUGGAGGAACACCGAUGGCGAAGGCAGCCCCCUGGGUCAAGACUGACGCUCAUGCACGAAAGCGUGGGGAGCAAACAGGAUUAGAUACCCUGGUAGUCCACGCCCUAAACGAUGUCUACUAGUUGUCGGGUCUUAAUUGACUUGGUAACGCAGCUAACGCGUGAAGUAGACCGCCUGGGGAUACGGUCGCAAGNUUAAACUUAAGAGUAGUGACGNGNGAGNGNGACGAGACGACGAGAGGAG